UUAAGUUAUUAAGGGCGCACGGUGGAUGCCUUGGCACUAGAAGCCGAUGAAGGACGUUACUAACGACGAUAUGCUUUGGGGAGCUGUAAGUAAGCUUUGAUCCAGAGAUUUCCGAAUGGGGAAACCCAGCAUGAGUUAUGUCAUGUUAUCGAUAUGUGAAUACAUAGCAUAUCAGAAGGCACACCCGGAGAACUGAAACAUCUUAGUACCCGGAGGAAGAGAAAGAAAAUUCGAUUCCCUUAGUAGCGGCGAGCGAAACGGGAAGAGCCCAAACCAACAAGCUUGCUUGUUGGGGUUGUAGGACACUCUAUACGGAGUUACAAAGGACGACAUUAGACGAAUCAUCUGGAAAGAUGAAUCAAAGAAGGUAAUAAUCCUGUAGUCGAAAAUGUUGUCUCUCUUGAGUGGAUCCUGAGUACGACGGAGCACGUGAAAUUCCGUCGGAAUCUGGGAGGACCAUCUCCUAAGGCUAAAUACUCUCUAGUGACCGAUAGUGAACCAGUACCGUGAGGGAAAGGUGAAAAGCACCCCGGAAGGGGAGUGAAAUAGAACCUGAAACCGUGUGCUUACAAGUAGUCAGAGCCCGUUAAUGGGUGAUGGCGUGCCUUUUGUAGAAUGAACCGGCGAGUUACGAUUUGAUGCAAGGUUAAGCAGUAAAUGUGGAGCCGUAGCGAAAGCGAGUCUGAAUAGGGCGUUUAGUAUUUGGUCGUAGACCCGAAACCAGGUGAUCUACCCUUGGUCAGGUUGAAGUUCAGGUAACACUGAAUGGAGGACCGAACCGACUUACGUUGAAAAGUGAGCGGAUGAACUGAGGGUAGCGGAGAAAUUCCAAUCGAACCUGGAGAUAGCUGGUUCUCUCCGAAAUAGCUUUAGGGCUAGCCUCAAGUGAUGAUUAUUGGAGGUAGAGCACUGUUUGGACGAGGGGCCCCUCUCGGGUUACCGAAUUCAGACAAACUCCGAAUGCCAAUUAAUUUAACUUGGGAGUCAGAACAUGGGUGAUAAGGUCCGUGUUCGAAAGGGAAACAGCCCAGACCACCAGCUAAGGUCCCAAAAUAUAUGUUAAGUGGAAAAGGAUGUGGCGUUGCCCAGACAACUAGGAUGUUGGCUUAGAAGCAGCCAUCAUUUAAAGAGUGCGUAAUAGCUCACUAGUCGAGUGACACUGCGCCGAAAAUGUACCGGGGCUAAACAUAUUACCGAAGCUGUGGAUUGUCCUUUGGACAAUGGUAGGAGAGCGUUCUAAGGGCGUUGAAGCAUGAUCGUAAGGACAUGUGGAGCGCUUAGAAGUGAGAAUGCCGGUGUGAGUAGCGAAAGACGGGUGAGAAUCCCGUCCACCGAUUGACUAAGGUUUCCAGAGGAAGGCUCGUCCGCUCUGGGUUAGUCGGGUCCUAAGCUGAGGCCGACAGGCGUAGGCGAUGGAUAACAGGUUGAUAUUCCUGUACCACCUAUAAUCGUUUUAAUCGAUGGGGGGACGCAGUAGGAUAGGCGAAGCGUGCNNNAUUGGAUUGCACGUCUAAGCAGUAAGGCUGAGUAUUAGGCAAAUCCGGUACUCGUUAAGGCUGAGCUGUGAUGGGGAGAAGACAUUGUGUCUUCGAGUCGUUGAUUUCACACUGCCGAGAAAAGCCUCUAGAUAGAAAAUAGGUGCCCGUACCGCAAACCGACACAGGUAGUCAAGAUGAGAAUUCUAAGGUGAGCGAGCGAACUCUCGUUAAGGAACUCGGCAAAAUGACCCCGUAACUUCGGGAGAAGGGGUGCUCUUUAGGGUUAACGCCCAGAAGAGCCGCAGUGAAUAGGCCCAAGCGACUGUUUAUCAAAAACACAGGUCUCUGCUAAACCGUAAGGUGAUGUAUAGGGGCUGACGCCUGCCCGGUGCUGGAAGGUUAAGAGGAGUGGUUAGCUUCUGCGAAGCUACGAAUCGAAGCCCCAGUAAACGGCGGCCGUAACUAUAACGGUCCUAAGGUAGCGAAAUUCCUUGUCGGGUAAGUUCCGACCCGCACGAAAGGCGUAACGAUUUGGGCACUGUCUCAACGAGAGACUCGGUGAAAUCAUAGUACCUGUGAAGAUGCAGGUUACCCGCGACAGGACGGAAAGACCCCGUGGAGCUUUACUGUAGCCUGAUAUUGAAAUUCGGCACAGCUUGUACAGGAUAGGUAGGAGCCUUUGAAACGUGAGCGCUAGCUUACGUGGAGGCGCUGGUGGGAUACUACCCUAGCUGUGUUGGCUUUCUAACCCGCACCACUUAUCGUGGUGGGAGACAGUGUCAGGCGGGCAGUUUGACUGGGGCGGUCGCCUCCUAAAAGGUAACGGAGGCGCUCAAAGGUUCCCUCAGAAUGGUUGGAAAUCAUUCAUAGAGUGUAAAGGCAUAAGGGAGCUUGACUGCGAGACCUACAAGUCGAGCAGGGUCGAAAGACGGACUUAGUGAUCCGGUGGUUCCGCAUGGAAGGGCCAUCGCUCAACGGAUAAAAGCUACCCCGGGGAUAACAGGCUUAUCUCCCCCAAGAGUUCACAUCGACGGGGAGGUUUGGCACCUCGAUGUCGGCUCAUCGCAUCCUGGGGCUGUAGUCGGUCCCAAGGGUUGGGCUGUUCGCCCAUUAAAGCGGUACGCGAGCUGGGUUCAGAACGUCGUGAGACAGUUCGGUCCCUAUCCGUCGUGGGCGUAGGAAAUUUGAGAGGAGCUGUCCUUAGUACGAGAGGACCGGGAUGGACAUACCUCUGGUGUACCAGUUGUCGUGCCAACGGCAUAGCUGGGUAGCUAUGUGUGGACGGGAUAAGUGCUGAAAGCAUCUAAGCAUGAAGCCCCCCUCAAGAUGAGAUUUCCCAACUUCGGUUAUAAGAUCCCUCAAAGAUGAUGAGGUUAAUAGGUUCGAGGUGGAAGCAUGGUGACAUGUGGAGCUGACGAAUACUAAUCGAUCGAAGACUUAAUCAA
rnacentral:rRNA from 1 species